UACGUAGGGGGCUAGCGUUGCCCGGAAUCAUUGGGCGUAAAGAGCGUGUAGGCGGUCCGGUAAGUCCGCUGUGAAAGUCGGGGGCUCAACCCUCGAAUGCCGGUGGAUACUGUCGGGCUAGAGUGCGGAAGAGGCGAGUGGAAUUCCUGGUGUAGCGGUGGAAUGCGCAGAUAUCAGGAGGAACACCAAUAGCGAAGGCAGCUCGCUGGGACGUUACUGACACUGAGGCGCGAAAGCGUGGGGAGCGAACAGG
rnacentral:rRNA from 1 species